AUACGGAGGGUGCAAGCGUUACUCGGAAUCACUGGGCGUAAAGCGCGCGCAGGCGGCUUGAUAAGUUGGAUGUGAAAGCCUGCGGCUCAACCGUAGAACUGCAUCCAAAACUGUCAAGCUAGAGUCUGGGAGGGGAAGAUGGAAUUAGUUGUGUAGGGGUAAAAUCCGUAGAGAUAACUAGGAAUACCAAAAGCGAAGGCGAUCUUCUGGAACAGUACUGACGCUGAGGCGCGAAAGCGUGGGGAGCAAACAGGAUUAGAAACCCCAGUAGUCC
rnacentral:rRNA from 1 species